UCUGUUUACAGGGAGAUCCUCGAUGGCCAUUUAGAAGUUUUUAUAUUAUUUGAACCAAAAGCUGAAUCUAACAGAUGAAACCUUGUUAAUAAUCUGGAGCUGGUUGAGGUCAGUGGUCGGUGGAUGAUUUCCAGACGUGUUUAAUGACAGAAACUUCACUCAGCAGGACCCUCUGAUUCUUCAGAUGGAAGGUCCGUUCCUUCAUUUCCAGCUCAGAACCAUCACCAGUUUGGUUUUCUGUCUCCUACUGACUCACUGCUCUAGAGGUCAGUCUGAAUCAGUGGAUUCACUUCAACCAAUUAUAGCAAGAGUUGGUGAUGAGGUUGUUCUACCGUGUCAAAUCAAACCUUCGGAGGACGUUUCUGAAGCAAUGUUGGAGUGGAAAAGGUCAAACCUCCCCGUCCUGGUGUGGCGUGAUGGUGCAGACCUUAAAAUACAAAAAGAUCCGUCCUACAGAGGAAGAACAUCUCUGUUCCCUGAUGAAUUGAAACAUGGAAACAUUUCACUGAAACUCUCUGACGUGAAGCUGUCUGAUAAAAGAAUUUAUAGAUGUUACGUUGUAGAGAAGAAUAGAGAGAUGUUUGUUGAGCUUGUUGUUGCAUCAGCUCCUGUCUCCUCACCCGUCAUCAGUUUAUCAGGGAUGGACAGAGACAGA